rnacentral:rRNA from 1 species
GAUGAACGCUGGCGGCGUGCCUAAUACAUGCAAGUCGAGCGAACAGACGAGGAGCUUGCUCUUCUGACGUUAGCGGCGGACGCGUGAGUAACUCACGGGUAACCUACCUAUAAAACUGGGGUAACUUCGGGUUCCCGGGGCUAAUAACUGCUAAUUUAUUUAACCGUACGGUUUAAUAGUGCUAGAAGAUUUUUCUGUUCAUUGUUGGUGGUUCCGCGCCGCAUUUGCUAGUUGGUAAGGUAACGGCUUACCAAGGCAACGGAUCGUAGCCGACCUGAGAGGGUGAUCGGCCACACUAGAACUGAGACACGGUCCAGACCCCUACGGGAGGCGGCAGUAGGGAGUCUUACGCAAUGCGCGGAAGCCUGACGGAGCAACGCCGCGUGAGUGAUAAGAGUCUUCCGAUCUUAAAACUCUGUUAUUAGGGAAGAACAAAUGUGUAAGGAACUAUGCACGUCUUGACGGUACCUAAUCAGAAAGCAACGGCUAACUACGUG